GUGGCCAAGUUUUUAAGGGCGCACGGUGGAUGCCUUGGCACCAGGAACCGAUGAAGGACGUGGGAGGCCACGAUAGUCCCCGGGGAGUCGUCAACCAGGCUUUGAUCCGGGGGUUUCCGAAUGGGGAAACCCGGCAGUCGUCAUGGGCUGUCACCCGCUGCUGAACACAUAGGCAGUGUGGAGGGAACGCGGGGAAGUGAAACAUCUCAGUACCCGCAGGAAGAGAAAACAACCGUGAUUCCGGGAGUAGUGGCGAGCGAAACCGGAUGAGGCUAAACCGUAUACGUGUGAGACCCGGCAGGGGUUGCGUAUGCGGGGUUGUGGGAUCUCUCUUCUGUCGUCUGCCGGCGACAGGACGAGUCAGAAACCGUUGAUGUAGGCGAAGGACAUGCGAAAGGUCCGGCGUAGAGGGUAAGACCCCCGUAGUCGAAACAUCAGCGGCUCGUUUGAGAGACACCCAAGUAGCACGGGGCCCGAGAAAUCCCGUGUGAAUCUGGCGGGACCACCCGCUAAGCCUAAAUAUUCCCUGGUGACCGAUAGCGGAUAGUACCGUGAGGGAAUGGUGAAAAGUACCCCGGGAGGGGAGUGAAAUAGUACCUGAAACCGUGUGCCUACAAGCCGUGGGAGCGUCGGAAUGAAGCUUGCUUCAUUCUCGUGACUGCGUGCCUUUUGAAGAAUGAGCCUGCGAGUUUGCGGUGUGUUGCGAGGUUAACCCGUGUGGGGAAGCCGUAGCGAAAGCGAGUCCGAAUAGGGCGUUUCAGUAGCACGCUCAAGACCCGAAGCGGAGUGAUCUAGCCAUGGGCAGGUUGAAGCGGAGGUAAGACUUCGUGGAGGACCGAACCCACCAGGGUUGAAAACCUGGGGGAUGACCUGUGGUUAGGGGUGAAAGGCCAAUCAAACUCCGUGAUAGCUGGUUCUCCCCGAAAUGCAUUUAGGUGCAGCGUCGUGUGUUUCUUGCCGGAGGUAGAGCACUGGAUAGGCGAUGGGCCCUACCGGGUUACUGACCUUAGCCAAACUCCGAAUGCCGGUAAGUGAGAGCGCGGCAGUGAGACUGUGGGGGAUAAGCUCCAUGGUCGAGAGGGAAACAGCCCAGAGCAUCGACUAAGGCCCCUAAGCGUACGCUAAGUGGGAAAGGAUGUGGAGUCGCAGAGACAACCAGGAGGUUGGCUUAGAAGCAGCCACCCUUGAAAGAGUGCGUAAUAGCUCACUGGUCUAGUGAUUCCGCGCCGACAAUGUAGCGGGGCUCAAGCGUACCGCCGAAGUCGUGUCAUUGCGAUAUAUACCCCCAACGGGGAUCGUGAUGGGUAGGGGAGCGUCGUGUGCCGGGUGAAGCAGCCGCGGAAGCGAGUUGUGGACGGUUCACGAGUGAGAAUGCAGGCAUGAGUAGCGAUACACACGUGAGAAACGUGUGCGCCGAUUGACUAAGGGUUCCUGGGUCAAGCUGAUCUGCCCAGGGUAAGUCGGGACCUAAGGCGAGGCCGACAGGCGUAGUCGAUGGAUAACCGGUUGAUAUUCCGGUACCCGCUGUGAAGCGUCAAACAUCGAGCAUCGUGAUGCUAAGGCCGUGAAGCCGUUCCGGACCCUUCGGGGAAAGGAAAGUGGUGGAGCCGCCGGACCAAGCGGUUAGUAGGUGAGUGAUGGGGUGACGCAGGAAGGUAGUCCAUCCCGGGCGGUGGUUGUCCCGGGGUAAGGGUGUAGGCCGUGAUCCAGGCAAAUCCGGAUCACAUAAGGCUGAGACCUGAUGCCGAGCCGAUUGUGGUGAAGUGGAUGAUCCUAUGCUGUCGAGAAAAGCCUCUAGCGAGUUUCAUGGCGGCCCGUACCCUAAACCGACUCAGGUGGUCAGGUAGAGAAUACCGAGGCGUUCGGGUGAACUAUGGUUAAGGAACUCGGCAAAAUGCCCCCGUAACUUCGGGAGAAGGGGGGCCACACCUGGUGAGAACACUUGCUGUUCGAGCUGGGGGUGGCCGCAGAGACCAGCGAGAAGCGACUGUUUACUAAAAACACAGGUCCGUGCGAAGCCGUAAGGCGAUGUAUACGGACUGACGCCUGCCCGGUGCUGGAACGUUAAGGGGACCGGUUAGCUCCAUUUCGGUGGGGCGAAGCUGAGAACUUAAGCGCCAGUAAACGGCGGUGGUAACUAUAACCAUCCUAAGGUAGCGAAAUUCCUUGUCGGGUAAGUUCCGACCUGCACGAAUGGCGUAACGACUUCUCGACUGUCUCAACCAUAGGCCCGGUGAAAUUGCACUACGAGUAAAGAUGCUCGUUUCGCGCAGCAGGACGGAAAGACCCCGGGACCUUUACUACAGUUUGAUAUUGGUGUUCGGUUCGGCUUGUGUAGGAUAGCUGGGAGACUGUGAACUCUGGACGCCAGUUCAGGGGGAGUCGUCGUUGAAAUACCAGUCUGGUCGUGCUGGAUGUCUAACCUGGGUCCGUGAUCCGGAUCAGGGACAGUGUCUGAUGGGUAGUUUAACUGGGGCGGUUGCCUCCUAAAGAGUAACGGAGGCGCCCAAAGGUUCCCUCAGCCUGGUUGGCAAUCAGGUGUUGAGUGUAAGUGCACAAGGGAGCUUGACUGUGAGACCGACGGGUCGAGCAGGGACGAAAGUCGGGACUAGUGAUCCGGCGGUGGCUUGUGGAAGCGCCGUCGCUCAACGGAUAAAAGGUACCCCGGGGAUAACAGGCUGAUCUUCCCCAAGAGUCCAUAUCGACGGGAUGGUUUGGCACCUCGAUGUCGGCUCGUCGCAUCCUGGGGCUGGAGUCGGUCCCAAGGGUUGGGCUGUUCGCCCAUUAAAGCGGUACGCGAGCUGGGUUUAGAACGUCGUGAGACAGUUCGGUCCCUAUCCGCUGUGCGCGUAGGAAUAUUGAGAAGGGCUGUCCCUAGUACGAGAGGACCGGGACGGACGAACCUCUGGUGUGCCAGUUGUUCUGCCAAGGGCAUGGCUGGUUGGCUACGUUCGGGAGGGAUAACCGCUGAAAGCAUCUAAGCGGGAAGCCUGCUUCGAGAUGAGUAUUCCCACCUCCUUGAGAGGGUAAGGCUCCCAGUAGACGACUGGGUUGAUAGGCCGGAUAUGGAAGCACGGUAACGUGUGGAGUUGACCGGUACUAAUAGGCCGAGGGCUUGUCCUCA
rnacentral:rRNA from 2 species